UUACAUGAUGAGCAAUUUUUUAUUACUAGUUAUCCCUGGCAGAACUACUGUGUUGAUAACAUUACAACUCUGAAUU
rfam:Neosartorya udagawae DNA, contig:Aud0042, strain: IFM 46973.